CUGCACUAGCCUGCAUAGGGAAGAGGGUUUUAUGAGCCAGGCCUGGAAAUGUCCCACCGGCUAUCACUUCUAUGCACAUUCAUUGGAUAGAGGUGGGUCAUGUGGCCACAUACCUGCAAAGGCCGCUGGGAAAUGUAGUCCAGCCUUGCUGCAGUCCAAAGAGGAAGGAGUCCAGCAAAGCCCAACCCGGACUAUUUACUGAGAUCCUCAGCUCUUACCUAUUGCUUUAAGCAGGGAAACUGGACCAUUUCACAGGCGAAGACGAAGAUGCCAGCGGCUGGAGAAUGGCUCAGUGGAUAAAGUACAGGCUGUGCAAGCGUGAGGCCAUGGGUUCGGAUACCCAGCCGCAAUGAAAAAGAUCCCAGCCAUGGUGGUGUGCGGGAGGCAGAGAUCUGACCUUCGGGCUGACCCAGAACUGUGGGAAGCCAUGAAGCUACAGCUUGCUGUAGCUACUGUACCUACCUAAAAAUGAGUGGCUUGGCAAAAACAGGGGUCGGUCACCCUGCCACGCUUGGGUCACGUCUACACUGAGUGAACACACUGUAAUCUGCCUGGACCUUCAGGAGCACGUGGAGCAGAAUGAACACAAUCCCCACACCAACCUCAGGACCCCUGGUCAAGUCCAUGGGGGCUCUGAAGAGCGGCCUUAGCGGUGAACCUGUUGGUCUCUGAAUUCCUUACAUCCAAUUUCUCCCCCUGCAAAAUCAGGCCCCCAGGAAGGAUCCACUUCAUCCGCUGUUCUGGAAAGAGAGAAGCACACGAACCUGUUCCCGAUACCUCCACGAAACACCUGGGGGCCCCAGAUGAGCAGUUCCUCCUCCGGGGACAAGGUGGAUCUUGCACGAAGGGCAGCCAUGCUGGGGGCUGGUGACCUGUUCAGAUGCGGGUCCUUAGUAGAGUCUUCAGAACCUCCCCUUCACUAUCACCUCGGAGAUACUAAACGCUAGGUGAUGGUCUGGCGAGGUGGUUCAUGCCUCAAAGGCAAAUUGCCUGAUUUGGACCAUUAGGGCCAACAAGGUGGGAAGAGAGAAUUGACUUGCCCAAAUUGUCCUCCAGUCUCUCUAUAUUCUCACCCCCACUAAAUUAAAAUUUAACUUAAAAAAAAUUGAGACCUAGUCUUCCUGUAGCCCUGGCUGGUCUGGAACUUUCAAUGUAGACCAGGCUGGCCUCUGAUUCAGAGAUCCACCUGCCUCUGCCUCGAGUGCUGAGAUUAAAGACGUGCACCGCCAUGGCCGCCUGAUUAAAAAAAAAAAAAAAUCAAGGACAAUACCAAGCAACAAUACUAAGCCCCUCAGAAACCCUCCGUCUUCUAAGCCCCUCCCCUUCCAAUAUGACCACGCCUCGAUAAACCACGCCUCCGUCGACACAGGCUCCGCCCCUCCACUCCCUGGCCCUGGAGGGCUGAAAGGAUGCUCGGAGCGUGGGGAAGGGACUGCAAACUGGCAGAGUGAGGCCUGAGGACCCCAGCCAGCCCCCUCCACGCCCUCCCCUCGGGCCCACGCCUUGAACCUUCACCAUUCAGGGUCCCGAGGAGGGAGGUCGGGAGGGGCCAGGACCCGCUGCCAGAUCCCGACUCGAUGCCAACUCUGACACUCUCCUUUUCUCCAAUAAAAGGACUUCUCGGGU